rnacentral:rRNA from 1 species
AGUGAACGCUGGCGGUAGGCCUAACACAUGCAAGUCGAACGGCAGCACAGUAAGAGCUUGCUCUUACGGGUGGCGAGUGGCGGACGGGUGAGGAAUACAUCGGAAUCUACUUUUUCGUGGGGGAUAACGUAGGGAAACUUACGCUAAUACCGCAUACGACCUACGGGUGAAAGCAGGGGAUCUUCGGACCUUGCGCGAUUGAAUGAGCCGAUGUCGGAUUAGCUAGUUGGCGGGGUAAAGGCCCACCAAGGCGACGAUCCGUAGCUGGUCUGAGAGGAUGAUCAGCCACACUGGAACUGAGACACGGUCCAGACUCCUACGGGAGGCAGCAGUGGGGAAUAUUGGACAAUGGGCGCAAGCCUGAUCCAGCCAUACCGCGUGGGUGAAGAAGGCCUUCGGGUUGUAAAGCCCUUCUGUUGGGAAAGAAAAGCAGCAGGUUAAUACCCCGCUGUUCUGGCGGUACCCAAAGAAUAAGCACCGGCUAACUUCGUG